GAUGAACGCUGGCGGCGUGCCUAAUACAUGCAAGUAGAACGCUGAAGGAAGGAGCUUGCUCUUUCCGGAUGAGUUGCGAACGGGUGAGUAACGCGUAGGUAACCUGCCUGGUAGCGGGGGAUAACUAUUGGAAACGAUAGCUAAUACCGCAUAACAGUAGAUGUUGCAUGAUAUCUACUUAAAAGGUGCAAUUGCACCACUACCAGAUGGACCUGCGUUGUAUUAGCUAGUUGGUGAGGUAACGGCUCACCAAGGCGACGAUACAUAGCCGACCUGAGAGGGUGAUCGGCCACACUGGGACGGAGACACGGCCCAGACGCCUACGGGAGGCAGCAGUAGGGAAUCUUCGGCAAUGGACGGAAGUCUGACCGAGCAACGCCGAGGGAGUGAAGAAGGUUUUCGGAUCGUAAAGCUCUGUUGUAAGAGAAGAACGAGUGUGAGAGUGGAAAGUUCACACUGUGACGGUAUCUUAACAGAAAGGGACGGCUAACUACGUG
rnacentral:rRNA from 1 species